rnacentral:tRNA from 1 species
GUUCUUAUAGUUGAAUUACAACGGCGGUUUUUCGGGUUGCAGGUUCUAGUUUAAUAAAGCUAGAUAAGAAUA